rnacentral:rRNA from 1 species
GACGAACGCUGGCGGCGUGCUUAACACAUGCAAGUCGAACGGAAAGGCCCUGCUUGCAGGGUACUCGAGUGGCGAACGGGUGAGUAACACGUGGGUGAUCUGCCCUGCACUUCGGGAUAAGCCUGGGAAACUGGGUCUAAUACCGGAUAGGACCAUCGUUUAGUGUCGGUGGUGGAAAGUUUUUCGGUGCAGGAUGAGCUCGCGGCCUAUCAGCUUGUUGGUGGGGUAAUGGCCUACCAAGGCGUCGACGGGUAGCCGGCCUGAGAGGGUGGACGGCCACAUUGGGACUGAGACACGGCCCAGACUCCUACGGGAGGCAGCAGUGGGGAAUAUUGCACAAUGGGCGCAAGCCUGAUGCAGUGACGCCGCGUGGGGGAUGAAGGCCUUCGGGUUGUAAACUCCUUUCAACCAUGACGAAGCUUUUUGUGACGGUAGUGGUAGAAGAAGCACCGGCUAACUACGUGCCAGCAGCCGCCGCGG